rnacentral:lncRNA from 1 species
UCCCCGGGGCUGGUGGUCCUGGCUUCUAUAAGAAAGCAGGUUGAGCAAGCCAUAGGGAGCAAGCCAGUGAGCAGCUCCCCUCCGUGGCCUCGGCAUCAGCUCAGGUUCCUUCCGCCUUUGAGUUCCUGUCCUGACUUUCUUCAAUGAUGAGCAGUGAUUUGAAAGCUUAAGCCAAAUAAACCGCUUCCUCUCCUCCACAUUGCUUUGGUCAUGGAGUUUCAUCACAGCAAUAGAAACCCCAACUCGCACAGCAGCCACGGUGUUUGCUUUUUCUGAGUGCUACGUCCUUCUAGUAACGACCUGCUACACUUCACUCGACAGUCUCCAUGUAGUGUGUGCAGUUAUAAGUGCUUUUGAAACCACUUUUUCUGUGGUUACGGCCUAUGUGUACCGUGUGCGUGCCUGGUUGGAGGAGGCCAGAGAAAAGAGUUGGAUCCCGCUGGAACUGAAAGGACAGUUAUGAGCCACCAUGUGGGUGCUGGGAACUGGAGCCAGGUCUUCUGAAGAAGCAGCAAGUAUCUCUCCAGCCCCUCAUCACUCUGAAUAUAAAGCACAUGUUCAGGCUGGUGGGAGAGCACAGUGACAAAGGCGCUUGCCUCUAAACCUGAGGACCCAAGUUCAAUCCCUGAGACCUCAUGGCAGAAGGAGAGAACCAACUUGAAAGAUGUACUUAUAUGUGUGUGGAUGCUUUGCCUGCUAUGGAUGUACGUCGGACACAUUGGUGCCUGGUACCUGCAGGGGUCAGAAAAGCUCCGUGAUCCCUGCGAAUUAUAGUCACAGGCAGUCGGGAGCCACUACGCGGGUGCCGGGGACUGAACCAGGGUCCCCUGCAAGAGCAGGUGGUGCUCUUAACCCUGAACUCUCUCUCCAGUCCCAUGUACACUCACUUACUCAAGUUUCAGACAGGUGACUCAGUGGACGAAGGUACCUUUCACCAAGCCUGAUUGUCUAAGCUCCAUCUCUGAGACCCACAUGGCAGAAGGAGAGAACCAAUUCCAGGCCAAGGAAUUUUGGCUCCUCGGGGGAUUUGUGACAGCCCACCCUCCUCGAGUUGUUUUUCUUCCCUUGAAGACUGAGGAGAAAGAACCCUUGUGUAUCGCGAAGGCAUGCGUGUUUGAUUAUUUUGAAAAAGAAGACACAGAUAACCAAGAAGAAAAAUGAAACACCUAUGCAGCCCAGAGCUCAGCCUCUGAGGGCCAUUAUCCAGUGAAGGCAACCAGGCCCCUUGGAGAAACGGUUGAUAAGUCUGGAAUGUCGAGCUAAGCCAAAGAAAUGUGAGAAGCAGAGAGGAAAACGAUUAUGGAAGAUUUCAAAAAGGCACAGAAGCCAGCUUGACAGGAACCCCAGGGCCAAAACUGGACCAGCUUCGAGCACAGAGAUAAAUUUAGAUGACAAUGAGUUAUGGUCCGUUGUGUUAAAAUAACAUUCUGGAGACCACUUUAGAAAUAAACCAAGAUGCGUGGGGAUUUUUCCUAUAACUAAUAAACAUGGAAGCAAUGAAAACAUGAUUCCAUUAGAAAUUAGAUUAUGGCCUGUGGUGGUGGCGGCUCACGCCUUUAGUUCCAGCCCUCCAGAGGCAGAGGCAGGCUGAUCUCUGUGAGUUCGAGGCCAGCCUGGUCUCCAGAGUGAGUUCCAGGAUAGCCAGGGCUACAGAGAAAACCGUUUUUCAAGGCAGGGGCGGGGGGGGGGGGGAGGAAGCAAGGGAGAAAUGCAUCAGACUGGGCUCUCAAGAUGGCUCAGGAGAUAAAGGAGCUUGCGACUAAGACAGUUGACCUGAGUUAGAUCCCUGGGACAUACACAGUAGGAGAGAACCACCUCUACUCUUACUUAACUCCAGUUGUACUAUAUAAUUUCAUUUCUAUUUUACUAUAUACGCUGUCCUCUGACCACCCCCGACAUGUGCACGCUUGCACACUCACACACACAUGGAAAAAGAAUUGCAUAUGGACAUUAAAAGCUAAAAGGACAUGCUUUCUAGAACCCAAACGGUUCAUAAACGUUUAACCGUGUGAUUGUUACUGUUAAGUGUCAACUGGAUAGACUCUAGACUAGCCUGCAAGGUGAACCUCUGUUUGUCUUGAUUGCUGUACCUGAUUCCCGAGGCAGGGGAUCCUGGAUUGCAUCACAUGGAGAAAGUGAGCUGAGGGCUGGCGUUUGUCAUUCUCUCUUCCUGAUUGUGGUGUCACACAGAGCCAGCUGCUUGAAGCUUCUGCUGCCUGGCUAUCUCUGGCAGAUGGACGGUACUCCUGAUGUGUGAGUUAGAAUAAGGCCUUUCUCCCUGGUGUCACAGCGACAGAAGGUAAGGCAUGCAGGCACAAACAGAUAAAGAGAGAAAACAGGACUGCGAGAGACAGGAAUGACGAAGAAUAAAGCUCUGUCCAAACUGGGAACUGAGGGCCAGUGAGAUCAUUCAGUGGCUAAAAGGGGCUUGCUGUCAAGUUGGACAGCCUGAGUUCAAGUCCCUGGGACCCGUGUGUGUGUGUGUGUGUGUGUGUGUGUGUGUGUGUGUGUGUGUGUGUGUGUGUGUGUGUAGAAUCACUUCCCAAAGUGUUCUCUGACCUCCACACCAUGCUGUGGUGCACACGACACCCACAAGUAAAUAAAAAACAAACAUAAUAAGCUUCGGAGAUCUGGGUAACAUGCAGAGUUGCUUGCAUUGCUUUUGAAACUUCGAAAUUAAGCUAAUUAGAAAUUAUUUCAAAAUAAUCUCAUUUUCAGAGCAAAGCAGUAACAUUGGAAUGGCCUGUUUUCAGAAGCUAACUCAGCUGUGAAAACAGAACACCUGCAACUUUAUUAACCUCAGUCUUCCUCAUUAACACCGUGGGCUUUUCAAUCUGGAAUUGUUUUUAAAAGGAACAUUGAAUCAGGAGGAGGCUGAGCUUUGCUGUUAAAAUGGAGUCUUGCAAAUGGCUGUUCUUGUGCACACACAGCACACACACAGAUGCACACUAAUAAUUACUUGUAAUCAUGAACAGUAUUGUAGAUUGUUCAACUACGUAAAACCACCUUCGUGUAUCUAAUCGGUAGCUGCCAAAUGAAGUUUGCUCACAGUCAGGCUUCUGAGGUUACGCUUGCUAAAGAACACCUACGUACAACUGGGAAUUUGUUCCAGGAUAAAUUCCUAGAAGUGGGAUAUUAGGUCAAAGGGCAAGAAUAUUUUUGGUCCUUUUGAUGAGCCUAGUGCUGCUCUGAACUGCAGGGAGCUGUCUAUUUCCUUCCUUUUGUCUAUGACUUCAUCACCUUUUCAUCAAAGCAUCUCUGUCGCAUAUAAUAGGGAGGCCAUUUCUCUCCUCCACAGUCUAAUUUGCAUUCCUUUGAUUAUUAAUGAGGGUGGACUUGACCGCUGUGUUUUCUUUUUUCUGGUUAUGGCUGGUGAAGAUCCCUUCAAAUCUAAGGAUGUAUUGGUUAGAAAAUAUGUCACAUCGUUGUGGGUUUUUUUUUUUUUUUUUUUUUUUUUUUGUACCACCGAAGAAAGAAAAACGGACUCUACCUCCAACAUGUUGAAAAUGUGCCUUGAGAAUCAGGGGAAACAAAUGCUUUUUGCAAACACCUAGGAGAGCUCUGGUUUGCCAGCUCCUAUGCAGUGCAGGAAGUGAGGCUGCCUUGGGCCUGGGGCAACUGAGCCCCAGAUUGCUCAACCUUCUUGCCUGGCUCCAAAAGGCCUCUGGGAAUUCUUAGAGCCUACGACGCACGAAUUAUUAAAACAAAGACGGUAAUACGACCGGACCAACUUGCUUUUCACUUUUACUACUGUUUGCUAACCACUCACGCUCUGUGUCAUCCACAAGCCUCCACAUGAGGCUCUGCAAUUUAAUGAGAGAGACAGAUCGUUCUUUUGCUUGGGCUAUGAGGUCAAGCUAAAGUGGGGGGGGCGGGUAAGAGAGAUCUUGAUCUGAAAUCAAAUAAAACUUGGAUUUAUCCAUUCAGCAAAGAUUUGUUCAUCUUCUAAUAUGAGUUGAGGCUGUGCUGGGUUCUGGGGUUGUAUUGGCAUUUGGGGACAUAGCAGAGGAAGGGAACACUGAGAAUACUGAAGCAAAGAGAGGUGACCCAAGAGAGGUGUUUGGGAAAGAGAGUGGCCCAUAGCAUGUGGGAAGCUACAGAAGCCAAGGAGAAAACCCAGGCUUCAGAGGUCAUGUCAAAGAAACCGGAUACAUGCUUGAAGACUGGAAGAGAGCUGUUUGCUCCCUAUCCCUGUAGAUCUGUGUGUGUGUGUG